GGUUAGCUGGGCCCUGGGUCGGGGGGAACAGAGGCUGGGUCCCGGUGUUGGACAGCAUAUUGGGUCAGCUCAACCAGACAAUGACAGCACUUUCCUUCUCUCUCUGUCGAUCUCUCCUUCCUGGGUUACAGAUGGGUGUACCGGAAACCUAGUUACAACACUCUGCAGCUGCCAGUUUCCGGGUGGGAAAGAGAAAUGUCCCUGUAUUUACCAGAAAAGGCACCAGAAGGCAGAAGAGGAAGAUCCGGACUGUUGAUUGGGAAACAGGAACUAAACAAUGAGGCAUGAGGAUUGGAUGUUGAGUGACCAGUUGUCACAUUGUCCAAUGCUUUUUCCGUCCAGAUAAAGAUGGUGAUACAGCAUUGGAAAAAUACCUACCACUGACAAAAUGUGUCUUUCUUUUCCAGUCCAACAACAGUGCAUCCCUCAGGACAUCCGGUGAAGAGUGUGAUCCAGUUGUAGAGGUUCAAGCCGAGGGACGGACAGAUCAAUAAUUCAUAGAAGACAUGAGGCGUAACACGCGGAACAUCAGGCUCACCCCAGGAGAAGCAGUGCAUGAUCAACGCCACUCUCAGCAAGGAGAUCUGCUGGAAAUGAUCGUUCUCUAAGACAUUUAAACAUCACAGAUAGAAAUUCGCACACGAUAAAAUGCAACGUGGAUUGUAUUGUACUACUGAAUGAAACUGAGGAGAUGCACUCAGAUCUUGGUGAUUGAACUUACGUUAACUUAGACAUAGUAACCAGGAGUGGUAUGGUGUUGAUAUCGUGUAGGCAUAGUAACCAGGACUGGUAUGGUGUUGAUAUCGUGUAGUCAUAGUAACCAGGAGUGGUAUGGUGUUGAUAUCGUGUUGAUAUCGUG